rnacentral:lncRNA from 1 species
UAUGGAAUAUGAAUGUAUUGAUUUUUUAUAGGUUUUUAUAAUCAAUUAUAUGAAUAGGUCAUGCCAAAAUUUGUAUAGGUUUUUUAAUUAGUACAAAAAAAAUUUUUCGCCUUCGGCGAAUCUUGCCCCCCCUGUCGGGGAAUCCUGGAUACGCCACUGAUCAUAUGAAGUUACAACAUGUCAUGAUGGACUUGCAUUCCUUGAAAUCAAAAAACAUUCCUAGCAAAAUAUCCGUCAGGAAUAUAUUUCUUUCUAAUGGAAAAACCAUGCACGGGCAGAAAAACCAAUCAUUACUGACGGCCUAGCUCCACUAGUAAUGUUUUCCCCAACAAUCAGAAAAAAAUUAGUUAAAAAACAUAAGCUUGAAUCAAGUUCACAUCAAUAUCCAUUUUAUCAAAAACCUAAGAUUACCUGAUUAAUUAAAGAAGUGCUACCUGAAGACAUUAUCCAACCAUGCCAAUCAUAAUGUUUUUGCAUAGAUUUUUGUGUGCUCGAUGUCAUCAUCCAUAAGGAUGCGUUCUUAUUUUUGACGAGCUUCACCAUGCAUAGUAUUUUUUGAAAAUAGAUUUGAGAGUACGAUUCCAUCAUAUCAAACGUUUGUUAUACUCAAUUGAGAAGACAACACAAGUACUUAAUGUCGUUUGCCUUGUGUAACAACACUUCCUCAACGUACAUUUCAAUGAUCAGUUACUACGAAGAUCUUUGUUCUUUUAUCCAUCACUCUUUGGUUGCAAAUGUUGCUUGAAUUUAUGUUGCUACAUGCAAAUCUCCUAUCUCGAGCUUUGCAUUUCAGCUUCCGACGUGCCAUCUUUCGUUGGUUGUCACCUUUUAUCUUUCCUUGGUUGUCAACUUGUCAUGUUUAUUUCUUGUCGUUUGUACGGUUGGCAAUUGACAGUUUUUAUUUAGUUGAUG